rnacentral:lncRNA from 1 species
UAGCUUUGCUCCAGUUUGCCAAUGUAUAGCUGAAUAUGAGCCAUCUACUUGCUGGAAGUGGUCACAUAUGGGGUAACUUUUAGUGGCAGGGUGAAGUAAUGGUACUGGCAUUUGUAUUACUGAAAGUACAGUACAUACUUUGUGUUAUUUUGCAUGCUCUCUAUGUGUUCUCGUCUUGGCAGGGGAUGCUUGGUGAUGACUCCUUAAAUGCUCUGAGUAAUAAUUGAGAAUACAUAGACAAUGUCAAAUUUAAGUGUGAUAUUUGUAUGUCAUAUUUACUCCACAAUAACUUUUUAUGUGUUUUUCUCAUUCUUUUUACAUAGACGUAAUGAUUUCUUUAUGCCGCAAUGUUACUUAUGUCAUUUGGAUUUGGACAUGCCGCAGUGUUACUUCGAUCUCUGGAUGGUUGGUGGCCACCUUAAUUAGAAUCAUUAGGGGUAAUGUAGUUGCAAUGCAGUAUCUAUGUGUGGGCUACCGGAUGGAGUUGCAACAGCUGUGGUCAAAAGCCGGAUGUUUUGGAGAUGCCAUGUUUGAUUAAUUAAUUAAUCAUCUUUUGUGGUGCCAUUAGUUCUGAUCCUGGGCUAGGAGGAUUUAAUAUUCUUAAUCAUGCUUUCAUGCAAAUUGACCCAGUUCGUCCGUUGAUUGAUUACUGGACUCCGAGUUGCAUUGCUUAUUUUGGUAAGUGAGAACGUAUGACUGUAAUUCUGCAUACAUCAUCAUGCUAUUUCCUCCUAAUUUAUAUAUGAAGAUUAAGUGUCCUUUUUUACCUAAAAUUUACUUGAAUAUUUAACUGAGAAUUACUUCAUUGUGUGUCAUGCCUAUCUUAUUCCAUCCACAUGAUCUAUGGACCACAGAUAUAGUUCUCAAUCCAAGGAGAGUCCGAAAACUAAUAAUUUGUGCCUUGAAUAACGAAUGUAAUUUUUUUGUUCUAAUCUUGAAACUUUGGCUAAUGUGAUAAUAUUGGUGUCACGGUGGUCUUCAUAGUUGUAGUGAGUACAAUCUAACAGAAGCAAAAGUCUCUAUUGAUUGUUGUAGGAGAUCCAGAAAGCGGAGCAUUGGGGCACUCUGAUUUUUAAGAAGCUCCAUGCACGUAUUAAGGCCAGUAAAUUCAAUUUGUUUCUCAUCUGCUUCUCUAUGGUCUGUUGUCCUUAUUCGAUCUGUUAUUCAGGUAUGUGUUGUUAACGCUCCUAAUUUUGGGAGAAUCAGAAAAAAAUAAGUUUUGCAAGUUACGUCAUAUUUCCAUGUUUUAGUAUGAGAUUUAGAUAUAUUGUUUCUCCGGUUCCAUAUUCAUUAUAUGUUUUUCUCCUAUAAUUGGCCUGCUUGUUUACACAAGUCUGAAUUCCUAAAGGUUCAAGAGUAUUUCAAUGUUGCUAAAGAAAGAUACAAGGAUCAGUGCCGUAACAUUGUUGAAAGACAAUCAGACACAGUAUGCUUUUAACUUGCCAUUUCCUUACUGACUAAACCUGAGUACAUGACUAUUUUCAGUUUUCUAAUUCAUUGGAGCUGUGCUAAUCUCCUCACUCCUUGCCCUGAUGUAGGACACCAUGCAGCAGCACUGCACCCUGCAGUGCAUGCUCUGCUCACCAUGACCUGCCUCCUCAUCAUCAGACAUACUCAUGUGUACUAGGAUCUCCUCACCAUCAAAGUUCAUGUGUCCUCUAGAUCAAGCCUAUGCAUGUGAGCCGAAGAAUUGUUUGCCUGUUCACAAUUGGUGAUUGAAGGGUGGCCGGUGACUUCCAUAAUUUUCUUGUAGUUGUUUGUUGGAUAAUCUUUAAAAUUAGGAUUGUAGAGAACUUUACAUUACUGUAAAACUUCGUCUUCUUGGUGUUGAUGCUUACAUAUUCCAUUAUGCUAACUCAGCAACACUUUUAGCAGAAAUUGGUUGUUUAUGCAGACACGCGGUGUAGUAAAAUUGAAGAUUUAGCUCCCGCAUUGCAUACUUAUGCUAUGUUGUAGUAAUGUUCUAUCCAUGAAUUAUAUACAGCAGACUGUAUGUUCAGCCUCCACGUUCAUUUCUUUGAUCUCCUCAGGUUUCGCAGAGGAUUUAGUUGUACAUAUGUGCCAAUAUACCUAUGUGAGCCUCCCUGAAUUAUGUCGAUAUCUAU